ensembl:lncRNA
AGCUCCUCAUCCAGGUGCCUGUUGAACACUGCCAGGGAUGGCAACUCCACCACCUCCUGGGCAGCCAUUCCAGUGCCUGACCACUCUCUGAGAGAAAAAGUUCUUCCUCAUGUCUAACCUAAACCUCCCCUGAUACAACUUGCAGCCAUUUCCCUGGGUCCUGUUCGUUGCCUAGGAGAAGAGGCCAAACCCCUCAUCACCACAACCUCCCUUCAGGAAGUUGCAGAGUGCAAUGAGGUCUCCCCUGAGCCUCCUUUUCUCCAGACUAAAAUGAUAUGGUUAUGAUACUAUUUACAGUUAGCUCACUAUGCUGGAACCUAUAUUGAAACAAAUCUUUGUAAUUAAUUUUGGUUUAAGGAGUGGAACAACGUGGCACAAGAAACAAUCAUACUUCCAGUGUUUAUGAGGUGAUAAUUCUAUAUAGCAAACCAUUAUUUGUAUGCUUGAAGAAAGUCCACUUUUUUCUUUGUCAGUUUGUCCUGAACACCUAAAUGACUUUCUGUAUGCAUCAAGGUCAUGAUACUUUUUCAUGUUAUAACAGGUAGAUUAUCAUAUAACAGUACUUUUAAACAGAGACUAUCAGAACCUCUACAAGUGUUUUACCUUUGGGGGGGAGGGGUGUCUCUUUCAAAUGUUAAUUACUUAUUAGUUAGUAUUUGAUGGAACAGGUUAUUUUCAUUAAGUCCUGUUAUGGCCAGGAAAAUUGCAAGACCAUUUUGUAUAAACAAAUCAGAAUAACCUGGUUACAUCGAAUACAAAUUGUAGCAAAAUAACCUUCAUUGAUUCCAAGGCAGACACUUCCAGUAAAGCCACCAACAGUUGUGUUUAAUCACUCUUAAGAUUUUAUUUUCCGUAGCAGCUGAACAUCUGUCAGAUCCAGUGACUUCCUAGAGACUUCAGUGUCUUGUUCAAAAUGGAUGUUCACACUGCUUUGCAUGUGAAUAUUUGAAGUUCCAUCUGGUCUAGAAUCAGCAGAUGAACAAUCUAUGCGAAUUUAACUCGAAGAAUCCAGUGAUGUUUUCCUGUUCCCUCAGAAUGAAAGUCACAAGGAGAUUCAAAUUCCUGGAGUGCUUGGGAGCCAAACCUCCAGAUCAGGUCCUCAAUGGUUUUUUGGUAAGUGAAAUUCUUUACUGCCCAGCUGAUGUUGCUAAUGCUGUGAUCCUCCCUUCCCUAUCCAGGAAUGGGUUAAUAUUUACCACAGAUGUAUAGCUGCUGCAUCAGAAAUGGCAACUUGAGUCAACACUGCUCAGAUGUGAUGAACAGACUCUGUGCAUUCAUGUGUUGUACGAGAUGUGGCAUUGUCCUAGUACUACUUCUUAGCACUACAGCAGCCCAGCAAAAAGACUUGACAAUGAAUAUUCCAUUGAAAAUGGUUUUGGUCAUUGACUCAAAGUCAACUGCAUGAUGGCUGCUGGCUUACAACAUGACAACAGCAUCUUUCCAAAUUAAUUAAGAAAAACCUACAAAGAAUAUAAGUAUUUCUAAAAUACAGGAAGUCCUUUGCCAACAGAGGCAGUGACUACAAAAUUACUGAUAUAUCUCCCAAGCCAUGUGUAAAUAUCCCAUGUCUAGAUUACUUGGGGGGGCGUGGGGAGGAAAUCACUCUUCAGCUUGACUUUUUGCAUGUGUACAAGUGCGUGGAUUUGUGACUUUCAGAGUGCCUGUACUCUGUUUCAGUGAUCCUGUUGCGGUUUGUAUAACUUCUGUAGAAAGCCUUGAAAAGGUAAAGAUAUCACAAAGCAUAUCACAACUAGAGGAUUGAUUGGACUCACUAUGAACAAGAAUCAGGACUUAUAAAAUUGAAAAGGUCACUGCAUUACUCUGUCGCAGUGAAAAAGGAAAAGCAAUGUGAGGAAUUAUUUAGGAGAGGAAGAACAAAACAGAAAACAUCAGCAAGCUACUCUAUAAUACUUUCAUGCACUGUGUCUUGAAAAUUGUGUGUAAUUCCAGUGCAAUGCUCUCAGAAGAUUGUAGUGGGAUUGAAAGUAGCACAGAGGAGAAUGACGGGGAUGAUCACAGAUUCGGGACAGACUGCACAAUGAAUGACUAACUAGACUUCUCUCUCUGAAUAGAGAGAGAGAGGAGUGUGGGAAAGCAGAGGUCUAUGAAAUUAUAUGUGGUAUAAAGAAGAUAAAGAGCAAAAGAAGGUACCUGGUGCCUGACACACCUUCAGAUCUCAGCAUCUGUAAUGCUGCAGGUCAGCUGUUUUCAGCUCUGCAACCUUUCACUUGAGUUGCCUGGGGUGCCAGAGCCCUGUCAGCAGAUCUUCCUUGCAUUCCUAUGCUUUUAUGACAGUGCUGAGGAUCUGCAUGGCCCUGCAGCUGCAGACCCUGGUGCUCAGUUUGAGAAGCAAACUGCCACUGGAUCCUUCCAUCUUGCCCAUGGUUAGAGGUGCUGAGGAAGACAUCAAAGACAGCAGGGUGCAAAGGAUUUGAUAUAGCCAUGAGUGAUCCGAGUCACCUGGAAAGUGCACAGUGUUUUGUGGUAAGUAUAGGGGAUAGGUUAAUUAGAGUAUUCCUAGUCACUUGAUAAAUCCAGGGCUGAAAGAGAAAGGAGAUACUGCAGUGAUGUAGCUGAGAUGUCACUGCAUCUCCUGUAUCCAGCAUGUAAUGUGUGCUUAACUAUGCAACAUCCUUUGUUUUUGUCCUUAGUAAUAAGUGCACAAUAAAAGGACCAGAACCAAUAUUUUAAGUCCA